ACUUGAGUAUUACGUUUGUUGCAACCUCUCCAGCUGUGACAAUACAGAUCUGUUCAUUUAACUUUGACUUGGAGUCCUUAGUGGUAAUUUCCGUGACAAUUUGGCUUCACGAAACAGAAUGAUUGAUUCGACAUGUGGAGCUUGGCAGUGAUGGUCUGUUAGGUAACACCGGUGGCGCAUUCCAUGUGAAGGCGUGCAAGUGAAAUAACCAGACCUCAUACCAGACCUCCACUGUGGGCUGCACGGGAGGAAAAACAUCAUCUACAAAACCUGGAAGGAGUGACAACUGAAUUUCAGGGCUGAGUCACUGGCUUACUUGCACUCUUCCAUGCCGUCCCUAGGAGGGGUGCGUCACUUGAGUGGGUUGAGUCACUGACGUGAUCUUCCUGUUUGGACCCUUGGGUUGUGCCGUGGCGGAGAUCUUUGUGGGCUAUACUUGGCCUUGUCUCAGGAUGGACCUGAGCCCUGGGACCAUGCCUCAGGACUACCUAGCCUGAUGACUCCUUGCUGUCCCCAGUCCACCUGGCCGUGCUGCUGCUCCAGUUUCAACUGUUCUGCCUACGGCUAUGGAACACUGACCUGUUCACCGGACGAGCUACCUGUCCCAGACCUGCUGUUUUCAACUCUCUAGAGACAGCAGGAGCGGUAGAGAUACUCUCAAUGAUCGGCUAUAAAAUGCCAACUGACAUUUACUCCUGAGGUGCUGACCUGUUGCACCCUCGACAACCACUUUGAUUAUUAUUAUUUGACCCUGCUGGUCAUCUAUGAACAUUUGAACAUCUUGGCCAUGUUCUGUUAUAAUCUCCACCCGGCACAGCCAGAAGAGGACUGGCCACCCCUCAUAGCCUGGUUCCUUCCUAGGUUCUGGAUUUUCUAGGGAGUUUUUCCUAGCCACCGUGCUUCUGCACCUGCGUUGCUUGCUGUUUGGGAUUUUAGGCUGGGUUUCUGUACAGCACUUUGAGAUAUCAGCUGAUGUAAAAGGGCUUUAUAAAUCAAUUUGAUUUGAAGUUCAAGUGGAAUCAGUGUAAGGGAGGUGAUGCCAACCGUGCUGACCAACUCACUGCUGUGUUUGAUAAUGUAAUGACAACAUACUCAAAUCACACAGACUGGAAGAAAAUACAUUCCACCAUGACGAAGGACAAUGAGAGUUUUGAGGACUAUCAGGAACGAAUGGAGAAAAUCUUCCUCCAGCACUCUGGUCUGACCCCUGACCAAGAAUCAUACAGUGCCUUGUAUUCAUCCCCUUGGCUUUUUUCCUAGUUUGUUGUUUUACAACCUGUAAUAUUUUUAUUUGGAUUUCAUGUAAUGGAAAUACAAAAAUUAAUCCAAAUUGGUGAAGUGAAUUUUUUUAAAUGACUUGUUUAAAAAUAAGUAUUUAAAAAAAAAACGGAAAAGUGGUGCAUGCAUACCUAUUCACUCCCUUCGCUAUGAAGCCCCUAAAUAAGAUCUGGUGCAACCAAUUACCUUCAAACGUCACAUAGUUAAAUAAAGUCCACCUGUGUGCAAUCUAAGUGUCAUAUAAUCUGUCACAUAAUCUCAGUAUAUUUACACCAGUUCUGAAAGGCCCCAGAGUCUGCAAUACCACUAAGCAAAGGGCACCACCAAGCAAGCGGCACCGUGAAGACCAAGGAGCUCUCCAAACAGGUCAGAGACAAAGUUGUGGAGAAGUACAGAUCAGGGUUGGGUUACAAACCUGCCAAGAGAGGGCCGCCCACCAAAACUCACAGACCAGGCAACGAGGUCAUUAAUCAGAGAGGCAACAAACAGACCAAACAUAACCCUGAAGGAGCUGCAAAGUUCCACAGGUGAGAUUGGAGUAUCUGUCCAUAGGACUAUUUUAAGUCGCACACUCCACAGAGCUGGGCUUUACGGAAGAGCGGCCAGAAAAAAAGCUAUUUCAUUAAAAAAAAUUAAAAAUAAGCAAACACGUUGGGUGUUCGCCAAAAGGCAUGUGGGAGACUCCCCAAACAUAUGGAAGAAGGUACUCUGGUCAGAUGAGACUAAAAUGUUGCUUUUUGGCCAUUAAGGAAAACGCUAUGUCUGGCUAUGUUUUUCAUCGGCAGGGACAGGGAAACUAUUAAGAAUUGAAGGAAUGAUGGAUGUCGCUAAAUACAGGGAAAUUCUUGAGGGAAACCCUUUUCAGUCUUCCAGAGAUUUGAGACUGGGACAGAAGUUCACCUUCCUGCAGGACAUUGACCCUAAGCAUACUGCUAAAGAAACAUGAGUGGUUUAAUGGGAAACAUUUAAAUGUCUUAGAAUGGCCUAGUCAAAGCCCAGACUUCAAUCCAAUUGAUGACUUAAAGAUUGUUGUACACCAGCGGAACCCAUCUAACUUGAAGGAGCUGGAGCAGUUUUGCCUUGAAGAAUGGGCAAAAAUUGCUAGAUGUACCAAGCUUAUAGCGACAUGCCCCAAGAGACUUGCAGCUGUAAUUGCUGCAAAAGGUGGCUCUUAAAGUAUUGACUUUUGAUGUGGGUGAAUAGUUAUGCACGCUCAAGUUUUCAGUUUAUUUCUUGUUUGUUUCACAAUUUGUAUUUUAUUUUGCAUCUUCAAGGUGGUAGACAUGUUGUGUCAAUUAAAUGAUACAAACCCCCUAAAACUCCAUUUUAAUUCCAGGUUGUAAGGCAACAAAAUAGGGAAAAUGCUAAGUGUGUGAAUACUUUCGCAAGCCACUGUAUGGCAGCCUGCUGUGGCAUUCUGUGGUUUCUGGCCUGCGACAAGACCUGAAGACAGCUGUGACAAAUACAUGCAUUGGGUGUUGGGUAGGAGAAAAAUACCCUUGCUGAUUGUCAAAUCUCGCAUCACCCAUGCAGAAAAACAGAUUAGGUAGAAGAACUCCAAGGCUGGUGCUAAAGCUGCAUAGUUGAUGCUUUUCGAUAGAGGAGGAAGAAGAGGAUACCAUGGAGGUCACGGCCUUAGAGGAGAAAGGGGACGAGGCAGAGGGCGAGGAGCUCAAGGCAUCUCUGGAGGGAGAGACUGAAACUGCUACAACUGUAGCAAGCCGGAACAUUUCGUAAGGGACUGUGCAGGUGACGGACAUGACCAGGGGGAAUGGCCAGGCCCACCUGAAGAUGUAAGGGUUGGAAAGCCCUUUGGUGGGCAAAGAACAUAGGAUGAGGUGUAAAAUAGAAGAAGACUCAGAUGAUGAAGAACCACAAGGAGCAUGCCAGAUGCUGAAACUUACCACCUUUUUGAUUGAAACUCCUCUGAUAGAAAUACUCGGCCAGAAUAAAUAUUGAAAUACUCAGCCUGAAGAUUUGAUUCCUAGUAGACACCGGGGCUGCAAUCUUGGUGUUGAAACAAUCUGGCCUGAAAGUAAUCCCCUCAACAAUAAAAACUACUCCACACUGUUGGAGCAUCAGGAAUUCCCUCUGAAGAAUGCCUCACUUACCCCCUACAUGUUAAAUAGAAAGAUACACACAUACGUGUCCCAGGGUUAUUAUGCCUGGCAUUUGAACAUUCCUGAGGUGGAAGGUGAACUACGAGAGAGAUCACUUACCUCCCCACACCACUGUGCAUGGGAGGUCCAGGAACAUCUUCACUGCACAGCAGUUCUCCCCUCGUGUGAAGAAGACCCUGAAUAUCAACAAAGAUGGACAAAGCAGAAAUGCAGAGUGGAAGUGACAAUUGAUGGAAUAUACUACGGUGAGGAAUUUACAGCAGCCCGGAGGUCUGCUGUCUGAUGCACGGAUUACACUGUAUGAAGUGACAGGUAAUGUCUCACACUGUAGUAUGUAAAAACAAACAAAUAAAACAAUCGAGAAUGAAGAGAUGUUGGCCCUUGGAUGAAGACUGUGAUGACAGCCACUGAUUGGAUAGUCUGGGAAGGUGAUGGGAAGUGGUCACCAUCAACAGAAACCUUUUCCUCCCAUUUUCUGGGCUACCACUUGAGCGAUACCAAAGAAAUAACCUAUUCCUGCCGAGAGUAUGAUGGUCGUGUCCCAAGAUAACUCCCACAUACCAUGGCUGGAUGAAGUGGCAGAACAGCUCUGGGCUGUCUCCAAGACCGAUAUUGGGAAGAUGAGAAGUGCCAACCCGGUGAAAGUUGAAAUUGACAUUUUUAUUCAUAGAAUUGCAGGGGAAGAGUACAAUACCUUUUCAUUGUGCAGCUCCCGUUGCCCUGCGCGCUUGUUCGUUGAGCUGUAGAUCCACUCGGGUGUCCCCAAAAGUUUUCAAAAGCACCAUUGCUUGUAAGUGCCCAGCCGUGUCUCAUUGCUGCCUUGGUUAGACAACUCAAGCUUGCAAAGCCAGUGUGGCUCCAAACACCAAAUCUAUCACUUGCAAAUAAUAGGCAUUCCCAGCAGUGCAGUUUGCAGUGCUUCUCGGAGCCCAUGAGCCAUUGUUGUACAGUCUAUCUGUGCGUUUUAAUUCCACCGAUAAGUAAUUUUCUAUCGACAUGGAGGCUAAUGCUGAAAGCCGAGUCUGUCCAGUAGCAUUUCUGGAAUACGUUUUGAUUCGCUUUAAGGCCGAGAAUGACCGCUCGACAGAAGCCGUGGACACAGGGAUAAGUCACUGUCACACAUGCCAAUGUGUAAAGUUGCCCCAUGUCCUCAUUCAGAUUUUUCUGCUUAAGGAAAUCAAGGAGAUCAGGGGGACUUUUUCCUUCAAAAUCAGUCAUAGGAUACAUUACAGUCAGUUCUGUUUUGUUUUGUGUCUAGCUUGGAUAGGUCGAACAGUGUUCCGUGACUCUCUGUUAAGCUGGAGAAGGCUGUUUGCGGAAAUUUUUACCGGUAGGUCUGAAAGUGCUGGGGGUCCAGGAGGGUGAGAAACAUUCAUUUUUCGUGGUUUUGAAACCUGUGUCGUAUCUGGCAAAGAAUGUUGUCCAGAAUAUUGCUGUGGAGUUGUUGGUAGUAUGUGUGAGGGUCUCCUUGUGAUGGGCCUCUGCGUGUGCUGGGUGAACUUGAGAUGCGCGCUGUGUCAUCGUAGAUUUGACUGAACCUGCGCCUCUCUCGCUCAAUUGUAAUAAUAGGCAUUCCCAGCAGUGCAGUUUGCUGUGCUUCUCGGAGCCUGUGAGCCAUUGAUAGCGCUCGUAGUUGGAACUUUGAAAGAGGUGAACGAACCCCUUACCCACCUGUUAGAGGCUUUGUAGCGUCGGCGUCGGGCGACCUCUCCUGACAAUGUCUAACUUUUCUUGAAAAGUUUGUCUUGAGAAUGGCGUUAUAAUUAUAUCCUCGACCAAAUCAAUAUCUGCGCUUUUAACGGACCUCUGAGACUAUCACAGUGCAGGUGCAUUUAUACAGAAACUUGAUUACACACAGGUGGAUUGUAUUUAUCAUCAUUAGUCAUUUAGGUCAACAUUGGAUCAUUCAGAGAUCCUCACUGAACUUCUGGAGAGAGUUUGCAGCACUGAAAGUAAAGGGGCUGAAUAAUUUUGCACGCCCAAUUUUUCAGUUUUUGAUUUGUUAAAAAAGUUUGAAAUAUCCAAUAAAUGUCGUUCCACUUCAUGAUUGUGUCCCACUUGUUGUUGAUUCUUCACAAAAACAGUUUUAUAUCUUUAUGUUUGAAGCCUGAAAUGAAGCAGAAAAGGGUAUUAUUCCCAUCCAUCAGGCCCUGGUUGAAAAUGGGACUUUGAUCCCAUGCCCAAAUCCUCGCCGAAACACCCCUAUUUUAUCUGUUAGGAUGCAAUCUGGUGAAUAUUGUUUCGUGCAAGAUCUUAGAAUAGUUAAUGAUGCUUUUUACGCAAGAGCACCCCUGGUCCUGAACACAGUUACUAUUCUUCCCCAUGUUCCCGCAGGGAGCUGUUGUUUUUCGGCGAAUGCUUUUUUCAGCAUCCCUGUUGACCCUGGAUCACAGGAUUGGUUCCCUUUUACAUUUCUUGGGAAAAAAUGGACUUGUGAUGCCACAAGGCUGAGUUGAAUCACCUGCCAUUUUUGCCCAGGAAAUGGUGAGGAACCUGGAAGGUUUUAUUCGCCCCAGAGGUAGUUAUGCGGUUCAAUACGUUGAUGACCUGUUGGUCUGUUCCUCAUCUGAGGAGAUUUGUCACGAAGAUACUAAGGCACUGUUGAUUUUCUGAGCUGAGAAUGGUCACCAAGUGUCCCCCUCUAAGAUGCAGUUGUGUAGAAGUUCUGUUAAAUAUUUGGGUCAUGACCCAGCUAUCAUCCAGAAGCAGUGGCGUGCCGUGGGCCUGGGGGCUGGGCCUUCAGUGAGGUCCUACACAGUCCCACCCGAAUUAAUCCACCUCUUAUUACCAACAUUAUGAUGCCAUGGCUCUAGACACUAUACAUUUAGACAGAAACGCAGUAUAAAACCAGACGUUGCGUCCCCUUGAAAUUGACAUUUUUAUUCAUAGAAUUGCAGGGGAAGAGUACAAUACCUUUUCAUUGUGCAGCUCCCGUUGCCCUGCGCGCUUGUUCGUUGAGCUGUAGAUCCACUCGGGUGUCCCCAAAAGUUUUCAAAAGCACCAUUGCUUGUAAGUGCCCAGCCGUGACUCAUUGCUGCCUUGGUUAGACAACUCAAGCUUGCAAAGCCAGUGUGGCUCCAAACACCAAAUCUAUCAGUGUUUGCAGUGCUUCUCGGAGCCCAUGAGCCAUUGUUGUACAGUCUAUCUGUGCGUUUUAAUUCCACCGAUAAGUAAUUUUCUAUCGACAUGGAGGCUAAUGCUGAAAGCCGAGUCUGUCCAGUAGCAUUUCUGGAAUACGUUUUGAUUCGCUUUAAGGCCGAGAAUGACCGCUCGACAGAAGCCGUGGACACAGGGAUAAGUCACUGUCACACAUGCCAAUGUGUAAAGUUGCCCCAUGUCCUCAUUCAGAUUUUUCUGCUUAAGGAAAUCAAGGAGAUCAGGGGGACUUUUCCCUUCAAAAUCAGUCAUAGGAUACAUUACAGUCAGUUCUGUUUUGUUUUGUUUUUAGCUUGGAUAGGUCGAACAGUGUUCCGUGACUCUCUGUUAAGCUGGAGAAAGCUGUUUGCGGGAAUUUUUCCGGUAGGUCUGAAAGUGCUGGGGGUCCAGGAGGGAGAGAAACAUACAUUUUUCGUGGUCUUGAAACCUGUGUCGUAUCUGGCAAAGAAUGUUGUCCAGAAUAUUGCUGUGGAGUUGUUGGUAGUAUGUGUGAGGGUCUCCUUGUGAUGGGCCUCUGCGUGCGCUGGGUGAACUUGAGAUGUGCGCUGUGUCAUCGUAGAUUUGACUGAACCUGCGCCUCUCUCGCUCAAUUGUAAUAAUAGGCAUUCCCAGCAGUGCAGUUUGCUGUGCUUCUCGGAGCCUGUGAGCCAUUGAUAGCGCUCUUAGUUGGAACUUUGAAAGAGGCGAACGAACCCCUUUCCCGCCUGUGACAGGCUUUGUAGCGUCGGCGUCGGGCGACCUCUCCUGACAAUGUCUAACUUUUCUUGAAAAGUUUGUCUUGAGAAUGGCGUUAUAAUUAUAUCCUCGACCAAAUCGAUAUCUUCUCCUCCUUCCGCUAUUGUGGGUUAAAAAAACCAGCUUAGUAGUAUGCAAAUUAAUUAGUUUAUCAAAUUCAGUUACCUAGUUCUGAGGUUUGCAUAGACCUGCCCAUAUACAGUGCCUUGCGAAAGUAUUCGGCCCCCUUGAACUUUGCGACCUUUUGCCAGGCUCAGAGGUCCGUUAAAAGCGCAGAGGCCUCCAGUGCGCCCUCCCAGUCCGGUGCGUCCUGUGCCUGCUCCUCACACUCGCCCUGAGGUGCGUGUCACCAUUCCGGUGCCACCUUUGCCUGCUCCACGCAUCAGGACUCCAGUGCGUCUUACCAGUCCAGAGCUUCAGGCGAUGGUCCCCAGGCCAGAGCUUCAGGCGAAGGUCCCCAGUCCAGAGCUUCAGUCGACGGUCCCCAGUCCAGAGCUUCAGGCGACGGUCCUCAGUCCAGAGCUCUGGCGACGGUCCCCAGUCCAGAGCUUCUGGCGAUGAUUUCCAGUCCAGAGCUUCCGGCGAUGGUUCACAGUCCGGAACCUCCAACAACGUUCCACAGUCCGGAACCUCCUGAGACGGUCCACGGGCAGUACUCCAAAAAGGGCUGUAAGGGGAGACGGAUCUAUAACAGUGUCAUACAGUGCCUUGCGAAAGUAUUCACAAAAAAAUACAGUUUUAUAUCUGUAUGUUUGAAGCCUGAAAUGUGGCAAAAGGUCGCAAAGUUCAAGGGGGCCGAAUACUUUCGCAAGGCACUGUAGGACCUGCCUCUCGAUAUCGUUAAUCCAAUCAAAAGACGUGCACGCACUAUGCCUGCUAGCUGGCUCCUGUGUAACACUGGAGCCAGCCACCAGGCGUACAAUAGCCAACUCUAAAGCUUAUUGGUUGACACUAAAUUUUCAUUUCCAUUCUCUUUAAGCUACAAGCACCCGCACUGUUGAUUCUGAAGGCCUGAGGGCAGAUUUUAGACCCCUGGCAACACAUGAUGGCUGAAUAUGAUUGGAUAAAAGAUCUAACAUAAAGACCAUCCCUCCAAAUCUCAACCUGGGGCUGGAAGCAGUGCAACCAAGAGGAAAGCUAUGAAAUGAAGAGUAUAACUCUUUCUCUGGGGAAUAAUUUAAUACAUAUUUGUGGGAAAAUACAUUUAAAAAAAAUUCUAUUCUGAUGUUGUUUUGGCCAGCAGAGAAGGCCUUACUGGCCCUGACGGCCCACCACUGUCCAGAAGGUGAGGUCAGUACACGUGCAUCUAAGCUGGGACCAAGAGACUGAAAAACAACUUCUAUCCCAAGGCCAUCAGACUGUUAAACAGCCAUCACUAGCACAUUAGAGGCUGCUGCCCUAUUAUACAUAGAUUUGAAAUCACUGGCCACACUAGUCACUUUAAUAAUGUUGACAUAUUUUGCAUUACUCAUGUCAUAUGUAUAUACUGUAUUCUACCCUUUCUUGUUCGGAUGUUCUGUGUCUGCUCUCGGGGAUGGGAUUGAUAGAAAAACAGAAAGAAGGGAGCACAUUGAUACUUUGGCCCAAUGCCUAGAAACUAUGUGUGCAAGGUCAUGAUCAGCGUAUUGCAUCUUGAGAGCAGAGAUCUCUAGUUUGUGCAUGAGUAUAAAGAGUGCUGAAGGGAGAGCACCCCUGCAGGACUUGGGCUUUGAGUGUUACGUUUGUUGUAACCUCUUCGGUCGUGAUAAUAAAGAUUUGUUAAUAUAACUUUGA